rnacentral:rRNA from 1 species
UACAGAGGCCUCAAGCGUUACCCGGAAUUACUGGGCGUAAAGCGCACGCAGGCGGUUUGCCAAGUUUGGAGUGACAGUUGUUGGCUCAACCGACAAAGGACUUCAAAAACUGGUGAACUUGAGGACGAGAGAGGAACAUGGAACUCCAGGUGUAGUAGUGAAAUGCGUAGAUAUCUGGAAGAACACCAAUGGCGAAGGCAAUGUUCUGGCUCGUUUCUGACGCUCAGGUGCGAAAGCCAGGGGAGCGAACGGG